GCCCUCUGCCCUCGCCUGGGCCUGCUGGGAGCUGCAGGCCCCGCAGGAACUACCACUCCCAGGAUGCCGUGCGGCAGCACCGGGCGCCGCCAUGACAGUGCCUGUGUGCAGUGCUGGGCAGGGCUGGGCCUGCUGGCCCAGGGCAGCGGGUUCUCCUUCCCUGAGCCUGCCAGAAGGGGUGCUGACAUGAGCCGAGCAGUUCUGUUCCUGGCAGUGAGGCUGCAGAGUGGUCGGUCAUGUCAUCAGUCAGCGUGGGAGCAAGUGCUGCAGCUCUGCAAGCAUGUGAGCCAUUUCUAGGCUGCAGCUGUGGGGAAGGAGGCUCUAUGUUGUCCCACAGAGAAUACACAGCUUCCACACUGGCGUACUUAGUUUCCCUAUGGAAUGUGUCCUUCUGGGGCUGGCAAAAGGCUUAAGGGCUGGAGCUUAGCUUGUAUCAAUUAGUCUCGAUAAGGUAUCUUUAAUGUAGUUAGGCUCUUAGGAGAAACAUUAGGAGAAAGAGUUUAAUUUGGGCUGACCUGUGUCCAGGCGAGGGGAUGUCUUCCAGCAAGGUCUGGGAAUGGCUGAUGAAAGGCAGGCAGCGCGCCAUGGUGUGAAGGCUCUGUGUGUCUCCUGUCACUGCCCGUGCCCUCAGCUCUUUGUCCUCUGACACGACAGCAUAAAGCGAGGCAGGGGACGCAGUCUGUGCUGAGAUUUUAGAGGCAGUGCUGGGGAGCGUGGGAGCAGUCCAAGCCAGGCAGGCUGCCUUUAUUUUCAGGGGCCUCUGUGCAGCAGCAGAUGUGCGUUUCCUAGAAGUACGUGAUGGAUGGAGCACAUGCUGG
rnacentral:lncRNA from 1 species